rnacentral:lncRNA from 1 species
GUCAUAAAUAGAUAUGACGUUUACUUAGCAACGUCAACAGGCCGCUGUGCUUGUAAUUUGACGGAUUGUAAGGUGACUAAACUAGAGCAAGAAGCACAUUCCUAAAAUGCAUGCCAAAUAUUAAUUCCAGGUGUGUAUCACAUUGUAUCCAUACGAGUUAAAAAAAAUCAACACAUCACAUUUUGUCUGGCCGAAUUACAUGUAUAUUGUGGUGAAACAAGUUUCAAGCAUGACUGAAACAAACAAGAAAAAUUACAAUUUCCAAGAAUAUCCGUGACCAGCUGGAAGUUGCCUAGCAUGCUAUAGGAAAUGGCGCAUCUACGAAAGUGAAAAUUCCUUCAUAUCCCGAAUACAGAUAUUAGUGAAAUGGGUAAUUGAGAUCUUCAUGAAUAAAAAGCAUUUUGACAUUU